GAAUCUGCUUACUGGUUUGAUAGCUGGGAGUUCUUUAAGGCCACGUAAUUUCCCCAAGAUUUUGCCUGUAGGGUUGUGCUGAGAAGGUCCAGUAUCGGUGUAAUGAGGGGGAUCGGAUCCAGAUGAUGCAAUACAGGUGAGUGCCGUCCGGAGGUGGAUGUCGAAGGAGUCUUGAUGAGCAGAAGAGAAGGACUAGCUCAUUUCUCCUUCCAGAAGCUUCUCAGCACCCUUCCUGGCCAUGAGGACUGUUGCCCCUUCAGUGAGGACCCAGAACAGCUGAUCC